rnacentral:rRNA from 1 species
AUGGAGUUGUCAUCUUCUAUAUCUGCUUUGAAUCCCGCCAACUCAUUUGCUGCUUUUGAUGCACAAAUGGUAUGCAAGGUACAAAGACUUGUUGAGUUUUAUCCCAAAGAUUUUUCAAGUGAUGACUUGAUACACCUUAAACUACAAGUUCAUAACUAUAUAGAUGACAUGAAAAAAGAUGACAACUUCCGAGGCCUUGGAAAUCUUGUUGAUCUCUCGGUUAAGCUUGGUCAAAUAGGGAGACAUAUAGUUCAUCAUUUGGUGUACUUGCUUCUAAAAUUGGUAUUUAUUCUACCGGUGGCAACAACAAAUGUUGUGAGCGCAUUUUUUGCCAUGAGCAUAGUCAAGAGCAAGUUGAGAAAUAAGAUGGGCGAUAGUCUUUUGGAUGAUUGUCUAGUCACAUGUGUUGAGAGAAACCCUUUCUCCAAGGUGAAUGAACAUGAUAUAAUUGAUACCUUCAUGACAAUGCAAAAGCGUAGGCCGAAAACAUAG